rnacentral:lncRNA from 1 species
CCUCAGCUGUAUCUGAAUUAAGAACUGAACUCUAGCUGAAUCUGGACUUUGAAGAUUUUCUUAGCCUUAAUUAUUCAGCUAUAAGAAAACCUACUCCUCGACUAUCUGUUUUCCCCUCACAAGUAUUAAUUAACUCACCAGAGGAAUAUUUUGCUCAGAAUCCAAAUGGCACAAUAACUGUCACUGAAAUAUGCACCAUCUCUAUGGAGACUGUGAGGUCUCUGGUGCUCCAAUGCCUGAUUUUGUACUUGAAUCAUCUUCUAAUGAAUAAUGAGAAGAUUGUCCCUCUUUUAGUAAUACAAGAAUGUAAGUGGAAGUGAUACAUCAAUAACGAAAAAUAUUUAUUUUUCUUCAAAAUCCAUUACCAGAAGUGUUUGUAUAAGUCACGUAUUUUUUUAAAUGUAAAUCAAUGUAUUAUAUAUGCAUGGUUAAAUGAAUCAAAUAAUGAAGACAUCUCUACCCUAGUCCUGCUUCCUGAGGCAACUGUUCUUAUAUGGCAAAUGUUAAAUUGAUCUACGGUCUCCACUGGAUUUUUGCCACAAUUACUGAAGAUUGAGCUCUUUUUACACCUCCCUCAACUUUUUCUCCACCAUUUUCCUCCCAAUAUAGUUUUUUUUUUUUCCCUGCUUACCUCUACAACUUUGAACAGCCUUGCCAAAUCUGUUUUUUGUUUGUUUGUUUGUUUCAUCCACCAUACAAUUUAGGGAGAAGGAAAGCAAAAAGUUAGGUAGACGGCUAAGGCUAGUCCUUGGAGAAACAGCUGAAAAAUCACAGCUACAGGCACAAGUAGAGCAGCCUGGGGAAAACUCAGGCUGCAGCUGCACAGAUAAGGAGGCAAGGUCCAGCAUGGAAGCCUUUUGUUCUUUUUGUGAUUGGUGGGAUCUCAGGAAAAAGUUACCUCCCCUUUUCAGACAUGUACACGGUGGGCUCCACGGGCGCUUUCACAGGGAGGGGAGGGGGACUUACCUAAAACAAAUCCGCAGUUACACAAACAAGAGAAGCUGUGCUUUGAGCUUACCUGGAGACAUAUCUGUAGCUGCAUAGAUAAGGGAAAUUACACAGACAGCUGUACAGAUAAGAGAAUUUGCUCAAGCAGCUACAGAGUUAAGAGGAGUUUCUUAUAAAAGCUUCUGAAUUCAACUGUAAAACAGCACCCCACUGGGGCUCCCCUCUCUGCUGCAGAGAGCUUUCUUCUUUCACUUAUUAAAUUUUUGCUUCAACCUCACCCUUUGUGUAUCCAUGCUCCUUAAUUCUCUUGGUCGCAAGACAACAAGCUUGGAUAACACCUCAAACAACAAGACCAUUGACCAUUGACCCAGUUUCAGAAUGUCUCUCUUAGCUGCCCAUUCCUGUUUGCUCUCCUUCCUUCCAAGCUCUGUCACCUGUAUUUAUCUUCUGUUUUGUAACAAUAAUUUAAUUAUAACAAUAGUUAAACAGGGUAUAAUUUCCUCACAGGAUAUUUCUAACAGUAGAAGCCAAUAAGCAGUAUUUAAAUAAUUGUUUUUAUAUUAUAGCAAAUAAUCUUUUGAAAUUAAAGUAUUUAUUCUCCAUAUAGUCACUGUAAAUACUGAUAUUUUGGGGUUUUAAUCUACCACGUUACUAUUCAUUUUCUAUUAUCUCUCACCUGUUUAAUGUUCUUUUCUCUCUUUCCUUGAUUUUGAGUUAUUUUUAAAAAUUUUAUUUCCCC